rnacentral:rRNA from 1 species
GUCUACGGCCAUGCCACCCUGAACACGCCUGAUCUCGUCUGAUCUCGGAAGCUAAGCAGGGUCGGGCCUGGUUAGUACUUGGAUGGGAGACCACCUAGGAUGACCUGGUGCUGUAGGCA